UCCAGAGUCAACUAUUUCAUCGAUCUAAAAAGUGCCUUCAUCAUAUCCGAAGAAGUAUUUCCCAACGUAACUUCCUCUAGCUGAUAGAGGAUUCUUUCAGGAUCUCUUUCCAGACACCGCUGGUCCGGAAAUGACAAAACUUUUCACAAGUAAAUAACAAGCAAUCUACGCCGGCUUUGAUCCAUUUGCCGAUAGUCUACACGUUGGCAAUCUCCGGGUAAUAUUUGGACUUCUGCAUGGCAUCGAGAAAGACACAAUCCAAUUGCGUUAGUUGGAAAAGCUACGGGUCUUAUCGGUGAUCCUAGUGGCAAAAAAAAAACAGAACGGUCAUUAAGACAAAUUAAUUGCUAUAGAAAAACACCUUAAUAGAAUAUUCAAGAAUCAUCAGGAUGGACUAUGGGGCAAAAAUGACCUAUCUCCUAUUAGAGUCGUCAACAAUGCAUCAUGGUACGAAAAUCUGAAUGUAGUGGACUUUGUUGCCAAUAUGGGAAGACACUUUCGAAUGGGAUCAAU